rnacentral:tRNA from 1 species
GCCUCCGUGGCGCAAUCGGCUAGCGCGUUCGGCUGUUAACCGAAAGGUUGGUGGUUCGAGCCCACCUGAGGGCG